GACAGAGGGGGCAAGCGUUGCUCGGAAUCACUGGGCGUAAAGGGCGCGUAGGCGGCCAGCACAAGUCAGUUGUGAAAUCUCCGAGCUUAACUCGGAAAGGUCAACUGAUACUGUGCGGCUAGAGUGCAGAAGGGGCAACUGGAAUUCUUGGUGUAGCGGUGAAAUGCGUAGAUAUCAAGAGGAACACCUGCGGCGAAGGCGGGUUGCUGGGCUGACACUGACGCUGAAGCGCGAAAGCUAGGGGGAGCAAACGGG
rnacentral:rRNA from 1 species